UUCCAUGUCUCAGGAAUCGAACCUCCAUACUGCGGCUGCCAGCAAAUCUUCUAAUCUAAUCUAACUACUAUAUAAGAGGGAGUUAUACUUUACGGUUCACAAGCCGUUUAAGCCAUUUAACUAAGCCAGGCCGUGUUAUCCUAUAAGUCUGACUAUUACACUGCUUCAGUACAACUCAUCCAACCAUGUCUCAUUAAUGGUGGUUGGACUAACCAACCAUUUCUUCUCUCUGACAUUUUAUCUCUCUUUCAUUGCUUCUUCACUCCAUUUCACACGCAACCACCAUGUCUGUUUACUCUGUAGAUUUUUUUUAUCUUCUUGUCAAUUUUUUUUCUCUUUUUGUAUGUCUUUCUCUCUCGCUAUUCUCUCUGCUCUAAUUGGUAGCAGUUAGAUCUGUACGAGGAAUUCCCAUGGAGAUGUCCUGAAGAUGGAAUUAGAUACAAGCAAAUUGUAGAAAGGAAGCGGCUAUAGAUGUUUCUAAUUGGACUCAACAAAGAUAUUGAUGCUAUUUGACAGAGAAUUCAAGGAACAAAAGCACACCGUUAGCCUUCGAGAAGCAUUCUCUGAUGUCCAACUUAAAGAGAGCAGAAAAAGUCCUUUUUUUAAGUCCGACUACAAGAAAAUAAAUGCAAUAGUAGUGUUUAAAAUUUGCAAUUCAUGGUUUCUUUUUGAUGUCUUUCACUACUAGGCCGUAUAUUAUAGUAGCUUGUUUUAAAUGGAAGGAAUAAUUGUGUAAAAAAAAAAAAGAAGUUCUCUCUGCUCUAAUUUCUUGACAUCUUGUGUAGAUCUUUUGGCUAUGAAUCCUAGGUAUGGUGGAUAGGUUUACCGUUUGUUUCCAUAUCUACAAGAUGUUUUUGGGCUUUACGGUUUUUUCUCGUCCUUCUCUUCAUGAUUUCUUUCUUCAGAUCACAGAACUGGAACCCUAACUUCCAAAAUUUGUAUGCAUUCAAGCACGUAAAGGUAUAUACUCUCCGAUGAAGUUCGGGAAACAGCUAUGCCUCGAACAUGGCAUUAGCAAAGAAGGCAUUCUCGAAGAUUUCGCUACUCAGUACAAUGCUCCAGGGAGGUGACGGGAAAGAUUUUUUUCUAUCAAGCCAAUGAUCAAUCCUAUAUUCCGCGUGCAUUACUAAUGGAUUUGGAGCCCAGAGUGAUUAAUGGUAUACAAAAUGGGGAAUACAGAAAUCUCUACAAUCACAAGAAUGUAAUUAUUGCAGAUCAUGAAGGCAGCGCUGGAAAUAACUAGGCAAGUGGAUACCACCAGGUCAGUAUCUGUUCCUUUUUCAUAAUUGAUGGUAGAUAUUAUAUUCUGUUAAUGUGACAUAUUCUUUUUGUAUUAUGAAAGUAAUAUACUUGGACUAAUAGUACAUAAAAUAUUACUGGAUUGCUGGUAAAGUGCGUGUAAAGCUAUAUAAUGGUAUUCAAUAUAUUUGGUGAGAUGAUUGUUGGCCUAUUGCUCUUUGUAAUCAUGCUUUUUCUGCUUGAAUCCCUAAUGUUAAUUUGAUCCACGCUGGUUUCAAAAGUAAUAACUUUGGCAUUCCAAACUUUUUUUGUCAAGUAAUACUAGAUUUUAAUUUCUGAACGAAGCAACUUCCUUUCUCUAAUCCAUUAACAACGAAGAGGUUUUCGGUACCAUGAACAAAUUUUUUUGACUCAAAUAAUAAGAAAACCAUUUUUUAACAGUACCAUGAACAGUAAAAAAAAUUUGACUCUUUUGACAAAAAAUUUGACUACGACUCUGACGGAACAAAGGGAAGUUGUUUUGGAUGCUAAAUUAGCCCAAAAACAACUUUUGAAAUUUUUUUGGGAUUUCAAUGGAUAAAGACUUAACAAAUGAAGAAAAACAUGAAGAACACAAAAGAAAAUGAUGAAAAAGAAAAAAAAAACACUAAGGCUCAACAAAAAAAAUAAAAAAGAUAUAACCUCAUAACUUUGUUUCAUCAGUUCUGUUGCUGGGUAUUUGAGGAAUGUUUCAAUUGGAUUUCCAAUUAUCAAUGCGGUGAUUGAGCCUGUGGAGUCUUGUAGUUGAACAAUUGCUCUUGCUAUGCUAGAAUGGAAGUGGAAUCAUUAUUACUAUUUUAGGUUCUAUUUGGUGAUGAUUAGAUAAUAAAUAAUUCAUUUAUUCAUAUAAAUGAUGUACUGACAUGAUUAUAAUCUUACCUUGGAGUUGGUGUAGCGUAAUUGUGCUUGCAAAAUCUACAGAAGUAAGUUUCGUUCACAGCCGCACUUGCGGAUUUAUUACAAUUGUCACAUGAUAGAUACCAUAGUGGUUGGUCUAUUUCAGCCAAUGUGACAUUUGGUUUUGUCCUAAAGUGUCAUUGCUGCAAUGUACAGAAUAACAUGUAAAAAAAUGUGUGUUAUGGGCAGAUGUGAGAUGUUGUGUAAGUGAGAAGGUUUAGUAAUUUGGUAUACCAUAUGUUGGAGUUGUUGUAGUUGUUUGAUGCUGACUAACUUGUCUUUUGGUGGACAACAAAUGGUGGCAGAUGUAGGGAAGGUAUAAUCUUUUCUUGUCACAGAUGUCAUUUACUGUGUUCAUGUUGUCUCGAGCCUAAUGUUGAUGUUAGAAUGAAAUUGUUAAAAGUAAAUAAGUAAAUUAAGAGUUAUAAUUACAAUAGAUAUAAGUAUGUAACUGAAUAAGCAAAAAAAAGUACCAGUGCUUUAGUUCAAGAACUUGCUUAAAUGGGGGAUUAAUGAGUAUUGAUGAGUUGAUUUUUGUAGAGACUGAUAUACCUAAAUAGAGAUUGAAUUGAGUUUUUGCAUGUAAGUUUUGAAUUCAUGUGUUCGUGUGAUUGUGCACAAGGAUGAGUGAAUUUCCCAUUGAAAGAAGUGACUCUUAAUCUGUUGCUCACAACAAUUAGUUGUUUGGUGAUUGUGUUGUAGAUCGUAUUACAUUCAUUUGUGAUGAAAUUGAACCACAUCUAAAGCAUAUGUGUUUCUAACCUGUAAGGCCGUUAGCUGUAUUUAAUAUAUAAUAACUAAAAGAGUUAUUUUAGUGUUGGCAGUAGUGAAUUUCUAACAUCUCAUUUAUGAGAAUGACAUCUUGUACCGUUGAUUGCUUGUCACGAAUUUGAAUUACUCUUUUGGGAAAGAUUUCAGUUGCUAUCCCAAUAAUGCCUACAAGAAGUAAUGUAGGUUAGUAAUCAGUGUAAGUUGUAAUUUAUGUUGAAGAUGGAAGUAAUGAAGUGUAAGAUGUUAAUGGGAUUGUAAGUACUUACUAAAUUCUGCAUUUGUAUCCAUGUAUGGCUGAAGAUUUUCGAAUGAUAUGAAGUUGUAAGCUGAAGAAAGGAGAGAGUUAAAUUGUUCAUUGACUUCAACAAUGUUUGUUUUUGCAUUGAUUGUCCAUCGGAUGUCACCAAGUUGGGCCUUGUAAUUUUUAUCUGUUUCUUUAACUUGUGCAUUUGAGAUGAGGUAUGUUUUGUGUGGUAGUAAGGAGCUAGAAAGGCGCUAUGUGAGGCAGGAAGUUGUCAACCUAGAAAAAGGAAAAUGAAGUUUACUGUGUGAAAGAAUAGAGCAGAAGAACAAUAUAUUUGGAUAUAGAAUCUAAUUGAUAUGGUGUUCCUUAAUAAAGAGAAUGGAGGAUUUGUAUAUUUAGAAAUUCAAUAUUUUACAUCCUUUCAUUUAUAUAAUUUGGAAUGAGAUACAUUUGAGAUUUCAAAAUUUAAGCACCUGAAUGAAUUAAAUGCACGUGGGACAUUUUUUUUUUCUUGAAUGGAAGAAAGAGUUUGAUUAGAUUGAAAAAUUGAUAAACGGAUAUUUAGAGUUGAUGGUUUUGAUUUAUUGUGGAUCAAAGUUCCAAACAAAGGAAGUCAAAUUAUGAGAGAUGAUUUACCUUAGGAUCCUUCAACCAAAUAAAUUGGUAUUUCAAUGGACUGUUCCUAGCUUUGGUGGGAGAGCAUUUUUCUGAAACUACUGCCUUUACAGUCCAGCCAGAUUCUCCAGGUUUGAUGUCAGGUAUAAGUUUGUAUUCUGUGGCCAUCUUUAUCUGCAAAGAAUUUAAUUUGAUUAGUAGAUGAAAAUGGUUAGAAAUAUAAUAGUUAAAACAAAAUACAGAUAUAGAAAGAUAUAUGGAUGAUGUUUGUGAAAAUGUUUGCAAUUAAUGUAUGCUGUUGUGGAUGGAAGAAAGGGAUUACGAAGAUAAAGAGCAAGGAGCAACUGAAGUUAGAGAAGAUAAAGUGGAUGCACUUUUAUUUGGUGGCUUAUAUGUAUGUUGAGAGAUGGGGUGGUAGUGGAAUCUGAUGAAAGUUUUAGAAUCAGUGGUCAGGAAGAUAGAUUUCUAUUUUGAAUAUAGCUUGGAAAAUUCUUAGUGGCAAGGAAGAACUUGAUUUACUGCCAUAAGCAGAGGUUUUCAAGGAAAGGUUGUGAGAAGUUGGUUGCCCAAAGAAACCAUUUUUAUUUCGUGGUCCAUCUUCUAUUGAGCUACCCAAAGAAACCAUUAAACCAGUUUAGUACGAUAGUUGUAAAAUAACGAAGUAGAAGUAACAAAUCUUUUACCCCCAAGAACUCUAUCAUAAGACCACAUUUAACUAAUACAUCAAUUACCAUUAACAAGAAUCAUAAAUGGAUCUAAUUUGAAAAUAUGUUGCCUAAUCCAAUCAAUAGAGAUAGCAUGGAAAUCUACAAAAAUAAUACAGCCUUCGGCAGCUUUGGCAGAAAGCUCUUGAACCUUUGUAUAUGCCUCCAAGUGUGCUGCUCCAAGAUGUUUUAGGGGUUCCUCUGCAGCACCCCAAGUUUGUCUUUCCCCUAGAGGUUCUCUUUUCGAAGAUUCUAAUUUUUCGUAAAGCUCCAUUAUUGGACGCCAGAUGGUGUAGCUCCAUAGCUUUAUUUUGAUUUCAAGCUUGCCAGAAUCAAGAAUGCAUUUUCAUAUCUACAAAGUUAGACUUCAAAUAUUCAUUGUGAAAACUAAAUUGUACUGCAGUCUCUUGAAGUUGAUCAUGGCCAUAAUUAGUAUCUUUAUUUCCAUCAUGUAAUCCAUUUCCCUUGAUAAGAUACCUACCACUCCUGUCUUCUAUAUUAUACAGAUCAUGAUCCUCUUCUACGCGAUUAGUUGGUGUCUGACCACUAUAAAACCCUUCUUAAGACAUUGUGGUAAAGUUUUACCAAAGAGCUGGAAAUUAAUAAACGACAUGAUCAGUAAAGGAUAAACAUAGGCUAGAAUUAAUAAGAUACCACAUUGACAUUAACCCUGAAAUAAAGUGAUAGCAUCAAUAUUAUAUAGUACUUUCCCACAUUUACUUUGACGUGGGGGAAUCCUCUAUUUCAUUUUAUUUCAAUUUCGAGGCAGUUAAAUUCGAUGAAGCCAUCAUUUACAUCAAUUGAAGAAAAAAUUAGAACUAACUUGAACAAUAAAGAGGCAAAUAUAUUCAAAAUUGGUAAUAAAUCAUUUUAUAGUUACCCUAUAUUGGCUGUUAGACUCGUUUUUCUUGAGUUAAAGUGCUUCCUAUCCUUUGUCUACUUGAAAGCGUAGGAAAAGGGCUUGAGUUACUAAUCCGAUAGAUAGAUGAAUCAAUGAAUUGAACCACAAGGAAAAUCUGAAGUUCGCUGAAACAUGAGCCCAAUACGUAAUUACAGCACAAUAGUUCAAAAUGAAAAAUAAUCAGUACCACGAAGUUGGUACAGUUAAAAUAAAAACAAAACAGAAAUUUAAAAUUCAUCACAAAAAAAGGAGCUGUAACAUUUCAACUACAACACCAGAACAGCACACAAUUAAAUUUAAACUAUUUGGUUCUGACUAAUGUCAUAGUGGAAAACAUAAAGGAAAGCAAUGAAUAAUGAAAAAGGAGAACAAAAUAAGAAAGAGCAAGGGAUCACAUGAAAGACUACAAUAUCACAUUUGAUUGUGUUUGGCAAAAAAUGUGCUUUGUGGUUUUGUAGGUUAUACAUUAUGAGAGUGAACUAACAUUUCAACUUGGAUUCUAUUCCAUUUCCAGUAAGUCUUCCAGAUCAAUGACAAUUGUUCAUGGUUAAAUGAAAGCUCAAGGUCUCACAUGUGUAUAGACAAUGAGAUCUAUCAUAUGUUGAGUGCAGUAAUAACUAAUUAAUUGCAUUAUCCAAGAAUAGGAUCGAAUCCACAAAUUUUACCUAUGAUUCUUUUGUUGAGGACUGCUACAAGAUUCUUUAACAGCUGCCUGCAUGAGGAGAAACACUGGGAGUUUCAUGGCUCAUGGUAAUUUAAAAUGUCUAUUGUUUACAGCAUAAAAAGAGGUGAAAAUUUUUAAAAUAAUUUGAAGAAAUGGAAACAAUAAGCAGAGAAUAUACCUCGCAUUGAUCAGAAUUUGUUACUGAACCCAACUGCGCAAACUGAUUUCCACCAAAAGCAUAGACACAACCAUGCAUAUGGUAUGCCACAACGUAGCUGCAACUGCUUCAAUUUGAGAUCCCAAUAAAAAAAGUCACAGAAGUUGGUCUCAGCAUGUAUGUACUCUAUUUCCUUGUUCACACUGCAUAAAAAAGGGGCUUAUUUUGCAAAUGUAAAUGCUUAACAAAGUAGACUAAAAACACCAAACCCAAACCUGGUUACGUUAAGGUUUUUAUCUGAUUUUUGUUACUUUAGUUAUAUGCUGGAUCCUGAAAUGAAAACGAGGAAACCUCAAAAAUAACUACAAGCAGGACCAAUUGGAAGGCAUCCCGUUUGGGGGUUCCAUAGACAAAACUAAAGGUAUGCAUCUAAAAAGCUAUUACUGAAUAUGCAAUUGCAACUUCAUUUUUUCUUCUCUAACCUGGAUUUCUCUUUAUGAAUGAGUAAUUUCACUUUCAUCACAUCAAAAGGUAUGUGCUUUUGGAUAGUGCUUCGAAAAAAUUUUCUAAUGAGUACAAGUUGGGAAAAGAAGUGGGUAGAGUUCAUUUUGGGUAUACUUGCCAUGAAUGGGUAAAACCAUUUAUUAAAUCCUAGCAAUAUCUGUUCGUUGUUUUCCCAGGUCAAGAAGUUUUACACUUGGAGCUUAUUAAAGCUUGAACAUCACGAUUGUUUUAACUUUUUGCUAUAGACAUUGUUUUAUAUAUGAAUCUGCAAAAAAAAAAUUAGGAGUUUUUAGACAUUUAGUUAAUUUCCAUAUUAUGUUUAUAUAUUUGAUUGAUGAGCAAUGUUACUUUCUUGUAAUAAAUUGCGUUUUUUUUUUCCAAAUACAGAGAAAUAUGUUUCAUUACACAUCGAAGAUGAUGACGCUGAAGUUGUAGAGAAAAGAAAUAAGGAUAAUCUAAUUAGUGUUGCAUCAAGUGAGAAGGAUUUGAAACGUGCUCCUUUUUCUUUUUUUUCUUUUUUUUUUUUUUUUUUUUUUUUUUUUUUUUUUGGUUUACUUACCGGACCAAGUUUAAGAAGAGGAAACUUAUAGGACCGAAGGUUGCUAUUAAGGUCAUUCUACAAGCGAGUUGCUGGUGUCACCAGUUCAGAGUCAAUUUCUCUCUUUCCUAAUCGCGAAAUUGAAGAUGAUCAAGUAGGUAGCUAUUCUGCGACUUAUACCCAUCAGCUUGGUGUUCAUUCAGAGCUAAUACCAUCAAUAUUUACAAUAAAUGAAGGUUCGUUUUCGAUACCAAACAAAUCACGUGUAUUACCUUGCCCUAUGUUAUGUGAAUAUUAUGGGGCUCUAAAAUUUAAAGAUGAACCGAAAGGUUUUUGUUGUUGUGAUGGAGCUGUUAGAUUGAAAGUGAAUGAUACCCCAGAUGAAUUACAUCAUUUAUUUACAUCAAAUUCUGUUGAAUCCAUUGAAUUUAAAAUUUACGUACGAACUUACAAUAGCAAUUUCUCAUUCACUUCAUUUGGUGUGCAUUAUGAUAAAGAUUUGUGCAAAAGAAACAAAGGAAUCUAUACCUUUAGAAUUCAAGGUCAAAUAUAUCAUUUUAUAAAUGACAUUCUUGUACAAACGGUCGCCCUUCUUAUGUGCAGCUCUAUUUUUUUGACACUGAAAAUGAAAUAGAGCAUCGACUACAACUUUCUGAAAAGUUAACAAAGUGUAUACUUUCAAAGCUUGUCAAAGUGAUGGAACUGAAUUCAUACGCAAUUUUUUUUCGAACUUUAACAAAUAUUCCAAAUUUGAAAUCUCAGUCUUAAAAUUAGAUCUGAUUGUGGAUUAGAUCAAAGAGUAUAUAACACAUCAUGUGCAUCUUAGGUAGCUGCUAUUUGGGUUGAUGAUGAUUCUACUACUAAUGAACGAGUGCGUGAUAUAACUGUUUCUUGCAAUUCUGGAGAAAAACAUCAAGUACAUUAUUAUUUUGGUUGUUAUGAUCCACUUCAAUACCGCUUACUGUUUCCUUUUGGCGAAACUGGUUGGCACCAAUGUAUUGUUAGAAUUGACAAAUGCAGAAAACAACAAACAUGUGCAAAUGAAAAUUUAUUUGACAUUCAUCAAUUAAAUUCCGCUAAAGAAAUUUUGCAGUGGAAAAUACAGGUGAAUAAUGCAAGAUGCAUAAAAGAAGAGAUUUUUUCAAAAGCAGAAACACAAAUGUUAAAAGCUAAAAUUGGGUAGAGAAGAAAUUCCUACCAACUAAACUUCAAUGAUAAUGCGUAUAGUAUAUCUUUGGAUAAAGAUUUUGAGAGCUAAAAACUAACUAAAUAUAAAUAUUGUAAUUCGCUAACCUUCUGAAAAUUCUUGAUUAGUAGCAUCAAGUGGAAAAAUGAAGUUUUGGUUCAUUUGUAACUGAGACUGUAUCGGGGAUCCAAUUGGGGUGCUGGCCGAUAGGUUUGGCAGGAAAUGAUUAUGUUGAUGCUGAUUUUUCAAGUCCAUCAGUUGCAUGUUUAUCAUUCUUUUGCCUUAAAGAUCAAUGGCGUGCUGUAAUUCCACCUCCUGCUGACCUCAGGGGCGAAGCCAGAAUUUUUACCCAGUGCGGGCACAAUUUUAGAUAUCGACUACAGUGAUUUUUUUAGUCUGAUUUUUAGUCCCUACGCCCGUGGUUGUUGUUGCUUCUUCUCACUGUGGUCCCCACUUUCGUCGGUGGCAGUGCAAUUCAAAGCAGUCGGAGGAGUCAUCAAUUAUUAGAAAUUCGUGAUGCAGGACCAUAAUUUCGGCAAGAAUCAUCCAUGAGUAAUAAAAUACUAAACCUCCAAAAAGUUACAAUAGGCAAUAUUAAAGUAUAAUGGUAAACAUUUAAACUUUUAAAAUUAUAAACAUAUUAACAUUGAAGGUACAAUAACAGUAAACUUUUAAAAUUAUAAACAUAUUAACAUUGAAGGUACAAUAAUAUUAAACUUUUAAAUUGAGCAAAUAUUAAGAAACAAUAUUAAAGUAU